rnacentral:other from 1 species
UUGGUAAGGAUUACUGACUAGAUAUGGAUUAUCGAAUAGGAUUUACCACAGGAUGUGGUUGCAAGGAAAAGUCUUCAGGAUGAAGAUGCGAUGGACACUCAACGGAUAUGAGUAUAAAGGACACCUCUAGGAUGGAGAGGAAAUAAAUCGGCAUGAUUUAUUGUACCAGGAUGGUAAUAAUAAAAACCCGAUGGAUUGGGAGUUAAACCUAAAGGAAAUUAGGUAAGUCAAUUUGCAGGGAGCAACAUAAGUUCAAGGAUUGGGCUACAUGACUACUUAAGGACGGCAUUUAUGCCGUCCUUUUCUUUUAUC